rnacentral:piRNA from 1 species
UCCCACACUAACCUAAGAGGGUGAAGGAUG